rnacentral:rRNA from 1 species
UACGUAGGGUGCAAGCGUUGUCCGGAAUUACUGGGCGUAAAGAGCUCGUAGGCGGUUCGUCGCGUCGGCUGUGAAAACCCGAGGCUCAACCUCGGGCCUGCAGUCGAUACGGGCGGACUGGAGUUCGGCAGGGGAGACUGGAAUUCCUGGUGUAGCGGUGAAAUGCGCAGAUAUCAGGAGGAACACCGGUGGCGAAGGCGGGUCUCUGGGCCGAUACUGACGCUGAGGAGCGAAAGCGUGGGGAGCGAACAGG